rnacentral:rRNA from 1 species
GGAUGCAAUCAUACGAGCACUAAAGCACUGGAUCCCAUCAAAGCUCCGAAGUUAAGCGGCUUGGGCGAAAGUAGUCCUAGGAUGGGUGACAUUUCCUUUUUAAUUAUUUUUUGUGCCUCGU